UUGUAAGAGUAGGCCUACACCCUCAUCAUUACAGCCAGACAGGACACACUACCAUGGAGGAUAUCACCCUGACCAAGUGGUUUAAGGUGAAAGAAUACGACCAGAAGAGUGAGCAGCGGUCAGAGAAACACAAGGGACUACGGGGACGCAACAACGUUACUUCCUGUCGGAGCCCAACCAGAGAACUGGACACACGGUGGAUCAAGAAGGAGCUGAGGCGGAAGAGACAGCAGGAAUUCAAUAUAAGACGAUCAGUCAGCCCAGAAAGGGCCAAAGACUCUGGAAAGGUCAAGGACGACAGUUGUGUCAUCUGUGACACAGCCAAGUCAGAGACGGUGGGGGCUAAGGUCAGCGUGACCCCUAAGUCAAAUCUGCAUGGGUCACAAAGAGCGAAAGACUCUGCAAAGGUCAAGGACGACAGUUGUGUCAUCUGUGACGAAGUGAAGACAGAGUCUUUGCAGUGUAACAUCAAUUGGCCUAUGCCCCCUGGGCUUAUGUCCGAUGAAAGGCCAUUGACAAUGGGUCGAAGAAUAAAGCCAUCCAAAGAUGACCUGGGCAACAGUGAAUGGGCCUCAAUAUGGAAAAAUGAGAAGAGCAGUACUAGAACACUAGAGGCAGUUUCCUCCACCUUCACCACCUUCACCACCUCGACCAGAGAACCACCCACCUCCACCUUCACCACCUCGACCAGAGAACCACCCACCUCCACCUUCACCACCUCGACCAGAGAACCACCCACCUCCACCUUCACCACCUCGACCAGAGAACCACCCAUCUCCACCCCAACCAUCUGCACCUCGACCAGAGAACCACCCACCUCCACCUUCACCACCUCGACCAGAGAACCACCCACCUCCACCUUCACCACCUCGACCAGAGAACCACCCACCUCCACCUUCACCACCUCGACCAGAGAACCACCCAUCUCCACCCCAACCACCUGCACCUCGACCAGAGAACCACCCAUCUCCACCCCAACCACCUGCACCUCGACCAGAGAACCACCCAUCUCCACCCCAACCAUCUGCACCUCGACCAGAGAACCACCCAUCUCCACCCCAACCUCCACCCUGAAGACGUCCACCCCGAGCAGAGAACUAAUCCAGCCCAGGUUAAAAGCCUUGACAAAACAACCACCCACCUCCACCCCUACGUCCACCCCUACCUCCACCCCUACCUCCACCCCUACGUCCACCCCUACGUCCACCCCUACCUCCACCCCUACCUCCACCCCAACCUCCACCCUACCUCCACCCCAACCUCCACCCCUACCUCCACCCCUACCUCCACCCCUACGUCCACCCCUACCUCCACCCCUACGUCCACCCCUACCUCCACCCCAACCUCCACCCCUACCUCCACCCCAACCUCCACCCCGAGCAGAGAACUAG
rnacentral:lncRNA from 1 species